rnacentral:rRNA from 1 species
AUACGUAGGGAGCGAGCGUUGUCCGGAAUUACUGGGCGUAAAGGGCGCGUAGGCGGCGCUUCAAGUCGUCUGUCAAAUGGGAGGGCUUAACCCUUUUUCGCAGACGAAACUGGAGAGCUUGAGAAGCAGAGAGGCAAACAGAAUUCCUGGUGUAGCGGUGAAAUGCGUAGAUAUCAGGAAGAAUACCAGUGGCGAAGGCGGUUUUCUGGCUGCAUACUGACGCUGAAGCGCGAAAGCCAGGGGAGCAAACGGGAUUAGAUACCCCGGUAGUCCUGGCAGUAAACGAUGUAUGCUGGGUGUGAGACUAGCGAUAGUUUCGUGCCGAAGUUAACGCGAUAAGCAUACCGCCUGGGGAGUACGAUCGCAAGAUUGAAACUCAAAUGAAUUGGCGGGG